AUUGAACGCUGGCGGUAGGCCUAACACAUGCAAGUCGAACGAGUGGCGGACGGGUGAGUAAUGUCUGGGAAACUGCCUGAUGGAGGGGGAUAACUACUGGAAACGGUAGCUAAUACCGCAUACCAUCAGAUGUGCCCAGAUGGGAGUAGCUAGUAGGUGGGGUAACGGCUCACCUAGGCGACGAUCCCUAGCUGGUCGGAGAGGAUGACCAGCCACACUGGAACUGAGACACGGUCCAGACUCCUACGUGAGGCAGCAGUGGGGAAGAUUGCACAAGGGGCGCAAGCUUGAUACAGCCAUGCCGCGGGUAUGAAGAAGGCCUUCGGGUUGUAAAGUACUUUCAGCGGGGAGGCGUUACCCGCAGAAGAAGCACCGGCUAACUCCGUGCCAGAAGCCGCGGUAAUUC
rnacentral:rRNA from 1 species